rnacentral:rRNA from 1 species
UACGAAGGACCCGAGCGUUAUCCGGAUUUAUUGGGUUUAAAGGGUGCGUAGGCGUCCCUAUAAGUUACGGUUGAAAUCUCCUCGCUCAACGAGGAACUGGCCGUAAAACUGUAGGGAUUGAGUACACUUGAAGCGGGCGGAAUGUGUCAGUGUAGCGGUGAAAUGCUUAGAUAUGACACAGAACACCGAUUGCGAAGGCAGCUCACUAAACUGUAACUGACGCUGAGGCACGAAAGCAUG